CCCCAAUCUUAAAUCUAUAAUAGGUUGAUCAUAUCGAAUUAUUUCAAAGUACAUCUGCAUUAUUUUCUUUCAUUGUAUAUCAGGUGUCUUAUUGAAUGACUGCUUCACAGAAAGACCACAGAUGAUGGAUCAUUCAAGACUACACUGACAUUUUAUCAGUCUGCCAAAGGCUCAUGCUCAGUUCUUUAAAUCAAAGGAAGAAUAGACCUUAGUCACUUCAGCUUUUGUGGCCUGUGACUUCCUUUAUGCUUGGACGAUAUGCUGG